AUGAGGGGAAAAAGUUCCUUUCCAUCUAUCACUUUUCCCGAGUCAGUCCGUGGGUGGCAGUCGACUUGGUUUUACUGUAAAGACCAGGUGACCCCAGGACAGUCGACUGGGCUUCCUCCUUUUUCUCUGAAUCGAGCACAAAAACCUGCCUCUCUGAAAGUGACGCCGGAGGAAAAGGCGCAAGUCAAGGUGCUGGUUGGUCGAGUGGUUCAGCUUGUCCGCGAGGGUGUGACUGGCAUGGACUUGUUGGAAGUCUUCCUUCAGAGGCACAUCCAACCGCUUCAGGCUCGUGACCACCCGAUGUGGUUGUACUCGGGUCUCGAAGACACCACUCGGAUUCACCCAGAGGAGGUCACUGACGAGAUGUUGGAAGGGUGUCUGUCGAGUAUCACAGGGAACAAGGACAACCCCCGAAGAGCCCGGAGGAUUCCUCCACUCGACCAAACAUACAAAGUGGACAAGGCCAUUACUGAGAUGUUCUCGACACCCAAUGGAGCACAGGAGCAGGCCGAGGAAGGAGAGGCGAGCGGAGGCGAAAGUGGAGACGAGAGAGAAGAGUGGGAAUCUGACGGCAAAGGAGAGGGGGAUGACGACGAUGACUCCAGUGAAGAGGAGGAGGAAGAAGUCAAACCUCCCCGCUCGGAACGGCGAUCCAAGCUUACACACGACCCUGCACGGGAACGUGGUAAGGCGACUGUCCCUGUUGGGCAGUCGUCGAAGCGCCCUCGGACCUCAUCUCCAGCGCCGACAAAAAAAGCUCCCAAGCACCCACGCGCGACGCCGUCCAAGCCGCCCAAGGCUCUGCCCAAGAUGAAGAUGACUGUCCCCACCAUUUCUGGGUAA
rnacentral:rRNA from 1 species